rnacentral:rRNA from 1 species
UACGUAGGGUGCAAGCGUUGUCCGGAAUUAUUGGGCGUAAAGAGCUUGUAGGCGGUUUGUCGCGUCUGCUGUGAAAUUUCGGGGCUCAACCCCGAACUUGCAGUGGGUACGGGCAGACUAGAGUGUGGUAGGGGAGACUGGAAUUCCUGAGUGUAGCGGUGAAAUGCGCAGAUAUCAGGAGGAACACCGAUGGCGAAGGCAGGUCUCUGGGCCACUACUGACGCUGAGAAGCGAAAGCAUGGGGAGCGAACAGG